rnacentral:lncRNA from 11 species
GCACUGCAGGCAAUGUAGGAAGGAAGAGCCCCCCAGGUGCAAUGGUGGGUGGGAGGACAUCAGCCGCUGCAACAUCCCUGCCCGAGAUACAAGACCAUCUUUUAUGAUGUGUUCCUGGAAAAUCCAAGAUGGCGGGCAUAGGUGAGCAAGAGUUGCCAGAUUAAAAAUACAGCAGGACUGCAAUAUCAUUAAUGGUUGUGCAGAAGAGGAAAUUUCAGCAGGUUAGUUUUGUGAUGAGC